rnacentral:tRNA from 1 species
CGCGGUGUGGCGUAGGCCCUGCUGUCAAACUCAUAACCUGAAGGCCGCAGGUUCAAAUCCUGCCCCCGCAA